AUUGAACGCUGGCGGCAGGCUUAACACAUGCAAGUCGAGCGGAGAUGAGGUGCUUGCACCUUAUCUUAGCGGCGGACGGGUGAGUAAUGCUUAGGAAUCUGCCUAUUAGUGGGGGACAACAUUCCGAAAGGAAUGCUAAUACCGCAUACGUCCUACGGGAGAAAGCAGGGGAUCUUCGGACCUUGCGCUAAUAGAUGAGCCUAAGUCGGAUUAGCUAGUUGGUGGGGUAAAGGCCUACCAAGGCGACGAUCUGUAGCGGGUCUGAGAGGAUGAUCCGCCACACUGGGACUGAAACACGGCCCAGACUCCUACGGGAGGCAGCAGUGGGGAAUAUUGGACAAUGGGGGGAACCCUGAUCCGGCCAUGCCGCGUGUGUGAAGAAGGCCUUAUGGUUGUAAAGCACUUUAAGCGAGGAGGAGGCUACUGAGACUAAUACUCUUGGAUAGUGGACGUUACUCGCAGAAUAAGCACCGGCUAACUCUGUGCCAGCCGCCGCCGUAAUAC
rnacentral:rRNA from 1 species